UUUACUUGUUGGGAGGAGACUCACCUCAAGAGCAAAUAAAGCACAGUCUACAAAAAAUAAUAUCCAACAAGUUAGCAAUGAAGUUUUCCUGGAAAGGCCAGAAAGGAAAUUUCGCAAUAAACUCACUAUUAAUAAUUAAUAUCAUUAAAAAUGCUGCUCGAAAACAUUUUCCGACGUUGACAGACAAAGGAAUGCAAAAUUUUACCUCGUCUUGGCUGAAAUAUGCAAAAACACGGCAUGAUAGAGAGAAGGUAAAAACUACAAGCCGCCAAAAAUUGUUGAAAAAUUGAAAAAUAAUUGAAGGAAUUGACGGGACAUCAAGCUUAGGAGAAAAAACAUUUUCGAGCGUGUUAAUAAAGGGCCA